rnacentral:sRNA from 1 species
UUCUAGCCCCGAUUGUAGUGGAAAUCCUUUUAUCCCGAUUUUAAAUCGGGAUAAAAGAUUGUAACGGAAAGCGGGACCAAUC